UCCGAAGGGUGGGAUUGGUGAUAUUCGCCAAGUAGUUGGCGCAGAUUUUGACUGCUUUCAGUCGGGGAAGCCAGUGGGAGGACCCUGGGAUCUGUAUUUUUGUGGUAUCUAACAGAGCGUCUCUCUCCAGGAUCCAUUUCCGGACUUUGUCCGGGCUCCACCGUUUGAGGAUAUUAAACUCCGGUAGGGUGUAUCUAACCAGGAUCUCAGAUAAGUUUUGGCGCCAAGUGGUAUUCUUUUGAAAAGAUACGAAGGCUUGUUUGGCCAAUAAGGUGUUUGAAGAGUUUGCAAGGUUGAUGUAAAAUCGUAGGAAUCUUAAGUGGGCCCUGGCAGACACAGAGGGUAAACCAACCUCCACCCUCAAGAAGGCUGCUGGGGUUCCUUGAGGAAGGCCUAGAAUCUUCUUGAGAUAGUAGUUUUGCAAAAUUUCAAGCCGUUCCAACAGCCUCUGGUUCCACCCCCAGAGUUCUAUCCCAUAUAACAUCUGGGGAAUAGCUUUCCCAACGAAAGCUCUUAAUGCCGGGAUCACCAAUUGUCCUCCCCUGGUAUGGAAGAAACUAAGCAAAACACCAAUUGUUCUUCGUGUUAGGAUGGUUACAGCCUUAAAGUGGGCUAGCCAGCUAGAUGUAGCCUGGAAUGUAACACCCAGAUAUUUAAAAAAGGGCACUGUUCA